rnacentral:tRNA from 1 species
GAAGGUAUAGCUCAGUGGUAGAGUGCAUGCUUGGCAUGCACAAGGUCCUAGGUUCAAUCCCCGGUACCUCCA